UUUCUUCUUUGUUUCUGCUCCUUGGAGAUUUGUUUCUUCUUAUUCUAUCUCUCCUUUAUUUUUUUGUCCUUAAAGUGUUGGCUUCUUCCUCAAAUAUCACCAUUAUUCCUCUUCUUUUAUAAUACUUUUUUUCUCACUCUAACAGAGCAUCCGGAGGGGGUGUCUUUAUGAGCGACUGAACAACUUGACAAUGAAAGCAUAUACAGUCGUUAAAAAGAGUGGAAGGGGAAGGACUGCUUGCUACAUUGAGACGUGACGAAAGAGGAGCGCGUGUGUGAACAAAGCUAUGAAACAGUUAUUUACUGAGGGAUUCCUGCGUGCCGACACUGCACAUCGGUGAACUCAAGCAGCCCUCAAAAUAAAGCCACAAACCGAUAUUUGACGCCUCCACUUCAUCGAUGAGCAACGUGCUAACUCCCUAAGACCACACAGCUGAGUCGAGGAAACAACGAGAUUUAAAGUCAAAUCUUUGGGAUUCUCAAGCUGAUCUUUCCCCACCAUAUUAUACUUUCUUUCAUGGAGUAAUGAAUAAAACAUACAUUUCAAACAAG
rnacentral:lncRNA from 1 species